UGAUCAGAGGCGGGCGCAUUGCGAUUUGCGUUUUCCCGAUUGUCUUUUGCGUCCACUCCUGCUUCGGACUACAAUAUAUCUUCUCGGGACGAUUAAAAAAAUUUAAUACCUUUAAACCUAACUAGUAUCUACUAAUUUAUCAUUAAUUUAAAAUUUUUUUUCUCUUUUUAAUUUUGUGUGACCCUUUAACAUUCUACAGUUAUUUGCUCUAUUUGCACAAGAAUUUUUGCCUUCAUUUUUAAUUCAUUUCUGACCUUGGUAAAAAUAUAAAAUGAUUGGAAAGUACAGAUAAAUAUUUAUAAAAUUUUCCGAAAAGUAAAAGAAAAAAUAUUCAUCAAAUCUUCACAUUUCUCAAAUUUGUAUAUUUUUAUUUUUGGGGGUUUUGAAAAUAUUCUGAUCAUUUUAUUAUCCUUUAAUAUUAUUUCUUGUAAAUUUGGUCCCCAUUUUUUAAGUAAAAUGACGAUCGAAAAAGUCUUACCAACUUAAAUAUCUUCCCUCCUGUAUUGAGACUAGAGUAAGUCGAGUUCGAGCGAGUUCG
rnacentral:misc_RNA from 1 species